rnacentral:rRNA from 1 species
UACGUAGGGUGCGAGCGUUGUCCGGAAUUAUUGGGCGUAAAGGGCUCGUAGGCGGUUUGUCGCGUCGGGAGUGAAAACACUGGGCUUAACUCAGUGCUUGCUUCCGAUACGGGCAGACUAGAGGUAUUCAGGGGAGAACGGAAUUCCUGGAUGUAGCGGUGAAAUGCGCAGAUAUCAGGAGGAACACCGGUGGCGAAGGCGGGUCUCUGGACAGUUCCUGACGCUGAGGCACGAAGGUCAGGGGAGCAAACGGG